rnacentral:rRNA from 1 species
ACCGUACUCCUACGGGAGGCAGCAGUGGGGAAUUUUGGACAAUGGGCGCAAGCCUGAUCCAGCAAUGCCGCGUGAGUGAAGAAGGCCUUCGGGUUGUAAAGCUCUUUUGUCAGGGAAGAAACGGUAGUAGCUAAUAUCUAUUACUAAUGACGGUACCUGAAGAAUAAGCACCGGCUAACUACGUGCCAGCAGCCGCGGUAAUACGUAGGGUGCAAGCGUUAAUCGGAAUUACUGGGCGUAAAGCGUGCGCAGGCGGUUGUGUAAGUCAGAUGUGAAAUCCCCGGGCUCAACCUGGGAAUUGCAUUUGAGGCUGCACGGCUAGAGUGUGUCAGAGGGGGGUAGAAUUCCACGUGUAGCAGUGAAAUGCGUAGAUAUGUGGAGGAAUAACGAUGGCGAAGGCAGCCCCCUGGGAUAACACUGACGCUCAUGCACGAAAGCGUGGGGAGCAAACAGGAUUAGAUACCCCAGUAGUCCUUGAC